rnacentral:rRNA from 1 species
UACGGAGGAUGCGAGCGUUAUCCGGAUUUAUUGGGUUUAAAGGGUGCGUAGGCGGAUUUGUAAGUCAGCGGUAAAAAUGCGGUGCUCAACGCCGUAUCGCCGUUGAAACUGCAGGUCUUGAGUGAGCGAGAAGUACGCGGAAUGCGCGGUGUAGCGGUGAAAUGCAUAGAUAUCGCGCAGAACUCCGAUUGCGAAGGCAGCGUACCGGCGCCAGACUGACGCUGAGGCACGAAAGCGUGGGGAUCGAACAGG